GUCCGCUUGGUCUAGGGGUAUGAUACGUCUUUAGGGUGGACGUGGUCCCGGGUUCGAUUCCCGGAGCGGACC